AAGAAAGUGGGUCUUAAAUGUUCUCACCACAUAGGAAAAAAUAGGAUAAUUAUGUGAGGUGAUGCAUGUGUUUAUUGGCUUGAUUAUGAUAAUUAUUUCACAAAGUACAUGUAUAUCAAAUCAUCACAUUCUGUACCUUAAAUAUAUACAGUUUUUAUUUGUCAAUUACACCUCAGUAAAGCUGGGGGUGGGGAAUUUCACAAUGUUGUAAUUCUUAUCCAUUCUAGAAGCAUGUAAUUUCCCUCAUGACAGGAAUAUUCUAACUUUUUAUGCCCUUUGUACUGGGCUUAUCACAAUCCUGAGCAUAUUGUUCAAGUUAUGCAAAAAUUGAAUUGAAAAGUUGCCACCUCAAUCCUCUUCCCCCAAGGCUUCCUAUGCUUAUGAUAUUUGAGAUUCAUUAGGCCAAUUCAUAAAGCUCAGGGGAGAACCAAAGAAAUAAAAGCCGUUUUUAUAUUAGAGUGAUGCAGUAAGAAGUGGAUUUCUAAAUUUUCCUGUGGUAUUUAUAAAGUCUCCAUCAUUUUUUAAAACAUAAAAUACAGUUAAAGCUGUGAUAAUGGAACUAAACGUCAGGUCACAAUCUCAUUUGACAACAGAAAAUUAAAAUUAUACAGUUUUCCCCAAGAUAUUUGACUAUUUCCUUUCUAGAAUAGACAAAAGGGCUGGUUUAGAAUUGUACUGAUAACUCAGGAAGCAAACGUUUAGUGAUUGAGAAACAACAAAAAGGGUACUUUUGAAAAGUCUUUGAAAAUAAAGACACUAUUUUCUGAGCUUCUUUUUCAUAUCCCUUCUUCAUUAACAAGAAACUUUACACUGCAAUGUGUUCUCUACAUAUAGAUGCAAGGACCUUAUGGUGGAGGCUAAAAUCAGGAAGUUCUUGAUUAGCAGUUGGAAUCACCCUCUCCAAACCCUGCUAUUGAUAUGCUUUUCAUUCCUGGAACAGCAACCCAGAUCUGUGUCAAAGACACCACCUUGUUUUGAAACUGGUCUGUGGUGUCGUUGAAUGCUCCUCUUCUCUUUUACUACCACGCUUUCAUAUGCCCUCUUUUUCAAAGUCUAAGUGUAUUUUUCCAACUUUUUUUCUUAACUAGUUUUGGACCUCUAGUGCAAAGGAUUGAGUUAAUCACAUCCCUCAAUUCAAGGCCUAGUAAGAUCCCCUCUCUUGCUUAAUUCAUUAAUUUAUUUUUUAUCUCCAUACCAUAUUCAUCUUUCUUCUUCUUGCAAUAGACAUGCAUUUCAAC
rnacentral:lncRNA from 10 species